UCAACCUUAGAAGCAGGAAGACUUGUUAUAAAGGCACCGUGUCCAUGUCGAAUAGUUACUAGGUACUAAGCACUCCGACAAAUUUUUGAUAUUUUGUGUAUUUUACACAAUUCAAAAAUUUGUUUCAUUGUUUGGGUGCCAGCCCGUUGCAAACACUUGACACAACCUAAAGCUAGGAAGCACGGACCAUCCCGGCGGCAACGAACCGGUCGGAACUCCACGGACACGGACAGCGUGGGACACAGUGUUGGACACACCACGUGGCGUGUCCAAUUUUUAUUAUUAAUUUAUGCUUCGGAACGGCAGGGACAAGGCGGGUUGUGUUGGGGUAAUUUCAUUCACCUCCUUGAAGUCUCUAAUAAAUCUACCUUAUUUACCCAAUAGUUUUAAAAUAAUAUUAAUCUCUAUAUUUGCCAUUAUUAUUAAAAAAAUUUAAACUGUUUUUUGAAAAUGAUACAUAACUAAUUUUCUUGUAAUAAUUUUUUUUUUAAAAAAUUGAUAACAAAAGUGAGAUAAUUUUGAUAAUAAUUUGAAAAAGGAAAACGGCUAAUGUUUAUUUUAAAAACUAUAGGAAAAUUGAUGGAAUUGUAAAAAGAAUUUAAGGACAACUAGUUGAAUUUGAAUUUUAAAAACUUUAUGAAUUGUAUUAGAUGCUAGUUGGAAGAUUGUAUGCCACUUCAUGUUUAAUACUACUUUCAAAACUUUAAACUUGUGGAUGAGGAAAUCAUGAAACAAUAUUUUGCCACUUUGUGUUAGAUGGUGAAUUGAUAAACAUUUUAUGUUUUAGUUUUAUGAUAUGUCAUACUUUAAGUUAUAGAAGACAGGUCAGGUUUAUUUUAUUUAUCUUGCACUUAUUUAAACUACCCUUGAUUCUAAUAUACAUAUAUAUAUAUGCCGGUCCCGACGUGUCGUGUCCGGCAUUUUUUGAAAAUUGUUUUCCGGGUCUCGUAUCGUGCCUUGCUUCUUAGACCUAAAGCAUCCAACAUUUCUUUCUUUUAUGAAGAUUUGACAUUAUGUACACAUGGAAAACACAAGUCGAGAAUUCCACAGGUACUUUCGCAAUUUUAAAGUUAAACAAUAGUAAACGAGCAGUAGUGACAUACAUUGAAUAAUUGUUAAAACAAACUUAUUGAGCUUUAAUCCUCCGCACUAUGAUAUAGUUAAGAUAUAAUUUUCCCAGUAUUGCUUUAAGGUUUAUAACGAAUGUGUAUGGUAGACUCAUGCUCAUAUUGAACACGAUUCUAAAGUCAGAUAAACAAGAAGCUGUAAUAAUUUUCCUAUUACACUUUGGGACAAUUUUGGUUGACCCUACUAUUACCGGCGUUGAUGGAGUCUUUAUGGUUGUGUAUAAUAUAAGUGUUUUCGGUAUGAUUGUUGAAUUUCAACUUUUUCCACAUCUG
rnacentral:lncRNA from 1 species